GUAAGACUGUUCACCUGUCGCCAUUUAGGUCAAGGUGGCGAGAGGCGAGCUUGGGGAAGGAGGGAGAGACUAAUUAACCUGGUGAGGCGUGGUGGCGGACAUGCAGAUUAAGACGGCAGACUGAAGGGGAGAGGAGGGCAAGAGGGGACGAGUUAAGCUGAGGACCACCUAAGGGACGCAUAAACUCAGGUCACCUUUUCCAGGUCACCACAGCCUCAGGACCGUGCAGACGUCGCCGCGUUUCCAGCUAGCUGGUGGCGAGCUGGUGGCGAGCUGCAGCCAACCAGGUCACCACAGUCUCAGGACUGUGCAUAUGUCGCCGCGUUUCCAGCUUGUGGUGAGCUGCAGCCAGCUGCAGCCAACCUAGGUCUGUCUGUCUACCUAGGCCUGUCUGUCUUACUUGAAAGACUUAGUGGUGCAAAUAUAAACCCUAGUGGGGCAAAUAAAUAUAAUAAGGUAAGAGUUGAGAUUAUGGAAAUUUGAAAUUAUGGAAAUAACCGUAACCUACCAAUUUCUA